rnacentral:rRNA from 1 species
UUUAAUUCGACGCAACCCGAAGAACCUUACCAGGUCUUGACAUUUAUCGAAGAGGGUAGAGAUGCCUUUGUGCUCCUUCGGGAGAACGAUAAAAUAGGUGGUGCAUGGUUGUCGUCAGCUCGUGUCGUGAGAUGUUGGGUUAAGUCCCGCAACGAGCGCAACCCUUGAUAAUAGUUGCCAGCAAGUUAAGUUGGGCACUCUAUUGUGACUGCCGUAGAUAAUACGGAGGAAGGUGGGGAUGACGUCAAAUCAUCAUGCCCUAUAUGACCUGGGCUACACACGUGCUACAAUGGGGUGAACAACGGGAAGCAAGCCAGCGAUGGCAAGCGGACCCCUAAAAACACCUCUCAGUUCAGAUUGCAGGCUGCAACUCGCCUGCAUGAAGUCGGAAUUGCUAGUAAUCGCGGAUCAGCAUGCCGCGGUGAAUACGUUCCCGGGCAAUCUCUAGAGGAUCCCCGGGUACCGAGCUCGA